rnacentral:rRNA from 1 species
AUGGCGGCCAUGUCCGUGGGUACUACCAAGGAGGCCGCAAGAGCCUGUACACUGUCGGCGAGCUGCCGUUCAGUACCAAGGAGUUUGAGGUCACCUUACCUGACAACAAGCCAGGUCCAUCUGAGCAAAGGUGCUCGAUAUUGUGUUGCGCAAUAUUGUGCUCAACGAACGCAAUGGCAUGGGAUUAAGAAGGCCCUCAGGGGUGUGAGAGUUGAGGCCGCCCACCGAAUUAUCGCCUGGCAAAACCAAGAGAGUGAGGGAGUACUUCAGAGAAACUUACAAGCUGCAACUACCUUGCAAUUUUCUCCCCUGCCUGCAAGUUACAGAGCAGAAACCCAACUAUCUUCCAAUGGAGGUGCCUCCAAAUAA